GCAGGGAGGGGGAGCUUCUCCGCUACACGGCUCCGCCGCUGGCCCGCCGCGGCCGCCUCAUUCCCCCAGGCCCAGGUCCCGCGCCGCCGCUGCCACCGUCACGGCUGCCGUCUCCGCUGCCGCCAGGGCCGCCGCCCCCUCUGCCGCCGCCACCCCCGACGACGACCGCGCCGCCAUCUUGGGCGCGAUGCGUCAGCGGCGUAAGGCUGCACCGGCCUGCGGGACGGCCGCGCGCUCGCAGCGCAGGCCGCGUUCGCGAAUCGCGCCCUCCCAGUUCGCGCGGUGGAAACCAGCAUCUGAAAGGAGAGGGACGCGCGACUCCAGGCGACCGCUACGCCGGCAGCGUAGGCGUAGAACUGGUGGGGUGCGCGGAGGAAGCCGGGGGAGAUAAGAACAGCGGCGCAGGACGCCUAGCGGCCGGAGCGGAGACCGAGCGGUCCAGCCGCGCAAGUCUGCGGAUGGGGAAGCGGGGACUUGGCCAAGGUCACGCCGCGUCUCCGCGGCCGAGGAUGAACCAAGGUCACGCCACCCGCCCCUGGGCCCUGCCGGUCGGUCUCGAAGGGGUUGAGGGGGAAGGUUUGUUGGAAAAAGGAGGAUGUAGUUAAAGGCAACGGAAGCUGCAGCCUGAGACAUCUGGGAUUUGGAACUGCAAGGAAACGGCGCAUGGGAGGCGUGUGCACUUUGCGUUGAUAGCCUGAACCUCAGGAUGUCUUAGGGGCUGGUGCAUGUCGCCCAUUACAAAGAACAAAUAUUUAUUCUGCAAUCUUUUAUUGAUGCUAAAGGUAAUUGCUUCCUCUUAUGGUAAACAAGAGGGCCAGAAAGGAACACGCGCGCGUGCGUGCGUGUGUACACACAUAAUGUAAAUCAUAAAACAUCAUCGUUUCUGGCAAUAAAUGAGGAGUGUGUGUUGUGGAUGUCAAACAGAUUCUCCAGGAAAAGAUAUACAGACAGAAGCUCUCCAGAAAGGAAAACUGGUGUAUGACCUGUGAAUGUUCUCAGCAACCCAGAACAAACCAAGUACCAUGCAGAUGCCCUAAACGUACCAAAAAUCCUGUGCAGUAUCUGUCUGUGAGUUGUUUAAUACCCUUUUUUGUUUUUUAAAUUUUUUUAUUUAAUUUUUUAAAAUUUUUUUAUUUAACAUUUUGUUGCCCGGGCUGGUCCGGAAUUCCUGGCCUCGAAGCUAUCCACCCUCGGCCUCCCAAAGCACUGGGAUUACUGGUGUGAGCCACAGCAGCCGGCUAAUUCCCCUUUUUGAAUUUGCUUGUAUUUAGCAUAGUCAAAAAGAUCUGGAUUUGAAAGCAAAUACACCUUGGUUGUAACCUCAAUUACAUUUUUUUUAAUGCUCAUACCACCCGAUUACAUCAUAUUUUAACUUCCGCAAAAUAGAGACCUACUUGGCCCUGGCACAUAGCAAGCACUCAGGGCACACCAGAUGCUAUUAAUAGUUUGUUUGCCUAUUAAACUUUCCUCUCUUCAAGAAAAGAAAAUUAGAGUUCAGUAAAUGUUGAAUGAAUAGAUAGAUGGAGGUUUUCUUUUGGUUUCUAAUUCCUUACCCUGACUUUUUAUGGGCAUGUUUUUGUUUGUUUGGGGUUUUUUGUUUGAUUGAUUGUUUUUUGGAGACAGGGUCUUGCUGUGUCAAUUAAGGUGGAGUGCAGUGGCAUAAUCUCAGCCAGCUCAACUGCAGCCUAGACCUCCUGGGCUCAAGCGAUGCUCCCACCUCAGCCUCCCAAGUAACUGGGACCACAGGCGCCUGUCAUGCAGCCUGGAGUGCUACCACGUCCAGCCAACUUUUGUAUGUUUUUGUAGAGACAGGGUUUCACCAUGUUGCCCAGGCUGGCCUCGAACUCCUGGGCUCAAGCAGUCCUUCUGCCUCAGCCUCCCAAAGUACUGGGGUUACAGGCAUAAGCCACUGCUCCCAGCCUAUGGGCAUGUUUAGUUUCAAGAGCCCACAAGAUUACUCCCAGAUCCCUUGACUGAGUAAUAAUUACUUUGUCUUUGUUCAGGGAGCAUUAACCAAGGGAUUCUGUCCUUUCCUUGAAGAUAAUGGGUAAGUAGUACAUUUAAAUUUGUUUUAAAAAAUUAUACUCGGCCGGGCGCAGUGGCUCAAGCCUGUAAUCCCAGCACUCUGGGAGGCCAAGGUGGGCAGAUCAUCUGAGGUCAGGAGUUCGAGACCAGCCUGACCAACACAGUGAAACCCCGUGUCUACUAAAAAUACAAAAAUUAGCCGGGCGUGGUGGUGCGUGCCUGUAAUCCCAGCCGCUCAGGAAGCUGAGACAGGA
rnacentral:lncRNA from 1 species